UAGUCUUUGCCAUGCGGAUAAAAUAUUUCCUCAAACUACCUCGUUAAAUUAAUCUGCUUGUAAUUGUUGAUGUAUUCUGGUUUGUGUUCUCCAUUUGUAUCUUGUUCGUAUUGUUAAGCUCUUUGUUCUUUCACCAGGACUGUUAACAAAUGCCACAGGUGAUUGGUCAGGUUCUCAUGGGUGUUCUCAUUAAUGACGCAGGAUCCUCACCAAACCAUCACUGAGUCAUGAUAGUGCCAUUAUCACUUCGUUGACUUUCACUACAGGCUGUAAAACUAUCACCCAAGGAAACACACUUGUAAAUCCCUAACAGUUUGUACUAUACCCUGCUAAAACAUUCGUAAAACCACGAUAACUUCCAGUAAAUCAAAGGAAAUUGCCACUAAACCAUGAAAAUACCCUUGCAAAACUCGUCACCUCACUAAUCAUAAUUUCAAUCACUAAAGUCACGAAAACAUCCUUGGAAAACCAAAUAACUUUAGCUCGGGUUUGUUAAAAGUAGUGGAGGUAUUUUCUUUUCUUCCCUUUUGUUGCCUCAGCCCGGUGUCCCUCUGAUGUGAAAAAAAAAAAAAAAAACAAGACAUUGAAGCGUUCGAGAUAGCGAAAAAGUUACGAAGCUUCAGCAGACGUGAACUAACGCCUGACUCUAGCCGCGUCGCUCUCUCUACCUCCGUCCGCCGCCCAGGUAAGGUCAUCCCAGCCACGUGCCGCCGCCUCGCUCCGCUGCUUCACAAGGCGCUCCACGCGUGCCACAGCCAGCCGGCGCUCCCUAUUGGCGGCCUGAAGACCCACGCACCCCAGCAACAAGGUGAAGGCUGUGCUCUGGCAGGUCGCUCCAGCUUGCCAUCAUAGGUGCUAGCCUGCCCUGAGCGCCCUCCUCUCUGCCUGUGACGCGCCGGGGGUGUCUGGCUGGGCGAGUGGCUCAAUUCAAAUAUUGUUUCAAUUGAACGUUGUUCUCGGUUAAGAACUUUUUUAAAUCGUUUAAUUCUGAUGUUUGGUUAUCAAAUAGUAAAAAUCCGUCUUUUUAAA